CGAGGGCCGAGGGCGCGCCAGUGCCCGGCGCGGGGCGCCUGCCCGCUUGCAGCCGCCUGUGGGGACCGCACGCAGCUGGCCACCUCCGGGGUGCUGGCGUGGGUCCCUCGCGGUCCGGCGGCGACUGUAAAUAGAGCCUGGAUGUUGUUUACAUGAAGGAUCCGGCGGGAGGAGUCUGCGAGGAGGAGGCGGAGGAGGAGGGAGGGAGGAGAGAGGAAGACCGGAGUCCCCGCGGCGACGGCGGUCAGGGCUACCCGCACACCAGCAGCCACCUUUUUGGAGAAGGACCACACCUGUGCUUAUUCCGGCUUUGGAGGAGAGAAGUAGGAGUAGAAGCUCUGAGAACGGUGGACUCUGCAGAAAAGAGAGGUGUAGAUGUGUUUCUGGAACAGCCCACAGCUCAAGAAUUGGAGCAUCACCACUUGCUGAGCUGUGACCCCCACUUUUUCUUCUUCCCUACAUCUCGAACCAGAAGGGAAUCUUUUAGUCUUCCACUUCAUGGGGAGCCUAUGGAGGAAGUCAUGCAAUCACCUGGAAAAGAUGCCACCAGCCAACACAGUGACUGA
rnacentral:lncRNA from 1 species